rnacentral:rRNA from 1 species
UAGGGAAUCUUCGGCAAUGGGGGGAACCCUGACCGAGCAACGCCGCGUGAGUGAAGAAGGUUUUCGGAUCGUAAAGCUCUGUUGUUAAGGAAGAACGAGUGUGAGAAUGGAAAGUUCAUGCUGUGACGGUACUUAACCAGAAAGGGACGGCUAACUACGUGCCAGCAGCCGCGGUAAUACGUAGGUCCCGAGCGUUGUCCGGAUUUAUUGGGCGUAAAGCGAGCGCAGGCGGUUAGAAAAGUCUGAAGUGAAAGGCAGUGGCUCAACCAUUGUAGGCUUUAGAAACUGUUUAACUUGAGUGCAGAAGGGGAGAGUGGAAUUCCAUGUGUAGCGGUGAAAUGCGUAGAUAUAUGGAGGAACACCGGUGGCGAAAGCGGCUCUCUGGUCUGUUACUGACGCUGAGGCUCGAAAGCGUGGGGAGCGAACAGG